AGUGAACGCUGGCGGUAGGCCUAACACAUGCAAGUCGAACGGCAGCACAGGAGAGCUUGCUCUCUGGGUGGCGAGUGGCGGACGGGUGAGGAAUACAUCGGAAUCUACUCUGUCGUGGGGGAUAACGUAGGGAAACUUACGCUAAUACCGCAUACGACCUACGGGUGAAAGCAGGGGACCUUCGGGCCUUGCGCGAUUGAAUGAGCCGAUGUCGGAUUAGCUAGUUGGCGGGGUAAAGGCCCACCAAGGCGACGAUCCGUGGCUGGUCUGAGAGGAUGAUCAGCCACACUGGAACUGAGACACGGUCCAGACUCCUACGGGAGGCAGCAGUGGGGAAUAUUGGACAAUGGGCGCAAGCCUGAUCCAGCCAUACCGCGUGGGUGAAGAAGGCCUUCGGGUUGUAAAGCCCUUUUGUUGGGAAAGAAAUCCAGCUGGCUAAUACCCGGUUGGGAUGACGGUACCCAAAGAAUAAGCACCGGCUAACUUCGUGCCAGCCGCCGCCGCGG
rnacentral:rRNA from 1 species